GAUUUACCUACCUUUGCCCUGUUCGCCUGGCAGUUACAGUCAGGGCCGGCUUUAGGAAGGGCCCGGCCUAAUUCCAACAUUUUCGGAGGGGCCCCGGCAGGGGUGACUAAAAAAAAAAAAGGCGAGUGAGAUAUGGAUAUUGGUCAGUUUCAUUAUCCCAUUUCUGAAUAGAAAACUUUUGUAUGAAGUUGGAGCCUAUUAAAGGAGAGGUUUGGUUUGGUUUUGUUCUUGUUUUGAGUUUUCAAUUAACUUUUU